UUUGCUCAACAAGCGGAGAGGACG
rnacentral:siRNA from 1 species